AGAUUAGAGUUUGAUCAUGGCUCAGGAUAAACGUUUGCGGUGCGCCUUAUGCAUGCAAGUUGUACGGGGUUAUGGUUUUCGGACUGUAACCUAGUGGCGAACGGCUGAGUAACACGUAAGUAACCUACCUCCAAGUGGGGGAUAACCUGUCGAAAGACAGACUAAUACCGCGUGUGGUAAUCAAGGAUUGCUUGGUUAUCAAAGCCUUAGGGCGCUUGGAGAAGGGCUUGCGUUUGAUUAGCUAGUUGGAAGGGUAAUGGCUUACCAAGGCAAUGAUCAGUAGCUGGUUUGAGAGGAUGUCCAGCCAGAUGGGGACUGAGAUACGGCCCUAACUCCUAUGGGAGGCAGCAGCAAGGAAUAUUGGGCAAUGGGCGAAAGCCUGACCCAGCGACACCGCGUGAGGGAAGAAGGCCUUCGGGUUGUAAACCUCUUUUCUCGAGGAAGAAUCUUGACGGUACUCGAGGAAUAAGUCUCGGCUAACUACGUGCCAGCAGCCGCGGUAAUACGUAGGAGGCGAACGUUAUUCGGAUUUACUGGGCGUAAAGAGAGCGUAGGUGGUUUCUUAAGUCAGGUGUGAAAUCUUCUGGCUCAACCAGGAGACGUCAUCUGAUACUGUGGAGCUUGAGGGCAGCAGAAGGAAAUGGAAUUUCCAGUGUAGCGGUGAAAUGCGUUGAUAUUGGGAAGAACACCAGUGGCGAAGGCGAUUUCCUAGGUUGUUCSUGACACUGAGGCUCGAAAGCGUGGGGAGCGAAGCGGAUUAGAUACCCGCAUAGUCCACGCCGUAAACGGUGGACACUAGAUAUGGGAAGUAUCGACCCUUUCCGUGUCGAAGCUAACGCUUUAAGUGUCCCGCCUGGGGAGUACGGCCGCAAGGCUAAAACUCAAAGGAAUUGACGGGGGCCCGCACAGGCAGCGGAGCGUGUGGUUUAAUUCGAUGAUACACGAAGAACCUUACCAGGGCUUGACAUGUCAGAAGUAGGAGUCCGAAAGGAGGACCACCUGUAUCCAGUCAGGAACUGACACAGGUGCUGCAUGGCUGUCGUCAGCUCGUGCCGUGAGGUGUUGGGUUAAGUCCCACAACGAGCGCAACCCUUGUUCUAUGUUAAAUUCUCAUAGGAGACUGCCUUGUACAGCAAGGAGGAAGGUGAGGAUGACGUCAAGUCAGCAUGGCCUUUAUGCCCUGGGCUACACACACGCUACAAUGGGUGAUACAAAGGGUUGCCAAAGAGCGAUCUGGAGCUAAUCCCAAAAAAUCAUCCUCAGUUCGGAUUGCAGGCUGAAAUCGCCUGCGUGAAGCCGGAGCUGCCAGUAACCGCAAGUCAGCUAUACUGCGGUGAAUACGUUCUCGGGCCUUGUACACACCGCCCGUCACGCCAUGGGAGUCGGAAACGCCUGAAGUCGACGAGCUAACUUACUUUUAGUAAGAGGCAGUUGCCGAGGGCGGAGCUGAUAACUGUGACG
rnacentral:rRNA from 1 species